CACGUAGGGCGCAAGCGUUGUCCGGAAUUAUUGGGCGUAAAGAGCUCGUAGGCGGUUUGUUGCGUCUAUCGUGAAAACCUGCAGCUUAACUGUGGGCUUGCGGUGGAUACGGGCAGACUUGAGUUCGGUAGGGGAGACUGGAAUUCCUGGUGUAGCGGUGAAAUGCGCAGAUAUCAGGAGGAACACCGGUGGCGAAGGCGGGUCGCUGGGCCGAUACUGACGCUGAGGAGCGAAAGCGUGGGGAGCGAACAGG
rnacentral:rRNA from 1 species